GACAGAGGUCCCAAGCGUUAGGCGGAAUCACUGGGCUUAAAGCGUGUGUAGGCGGAGUUCUAAGUACCUUGUGAAAUCCCACGGCUCAACCGUGGAACUGCUUGGUAUACUGGUUCUCUUGGGUCGUCUAGGGGCGAGCGGAACAAACGGUGGAGCGGUGAAAUGCGUAGAUAUCGUUUGGAACGCCAAUGGUGAAAACAGCUCGCUGGGGACGUACCGACGCUGAGACACGAAAGCCAGGGGAGCGAACGGG
rnacentral:rRNA from 1 species